rnacentral:lncRNA from 1 species
CGACACAACACACAACGUCACACCCCCCCCCACCCCGGCCCUAUUCGUCAUCCCCCAAAAGGGACUUUUUUUGAAAAAAACCCCUUCCUCCUCCCCCUCUUUUUGCUUUUUUAGGGCCUUUUUUGGCCCACUAACGCACCCCGUUUCUGCAGAAAAAUAUCCCCACCCUUUUGUACCCCUCGCCCCCGCUUGUAAUUUUGGGGCAAUUUCAACCACACCGGCAAAAAAAAAAUAAAAAAAAAUCCCUAUUUAGUAAUUCAGACCUUUUUUGCCAUUUGCAUCAACCCCUGGCCCGGCUUUAAUCAAAACAAUGUUUUCUUCCCCAUUUUCACCUUUUUUUCUCGCCAAAAAUGAUGUCAAAGCACUGGGUGGGUCGGUCCCCUGGGGCCGUCUGUAUUUGUCUUUUUUUUUUUUCCCCCUUUUCUGCAAAAAAUUAUAAAGGGAGAAGCAGCAGUCGCCUGCCCCAGCAUUGCUCUUGGCAUUUGCAUUGAGGAUUUGAGGACAAAAACAGAGAUUUUGGGGCCCGGAUAAAAACCAGAGGCAGCCAUGGAUGGCAACCCGAGCCGGGGAAAAGUUGACGUGCUGCUGCGGGUCUGGACCGUCGUGUUAUGGGGUGUUUUUUACUUGCUCAACGUCGCUGCGUCGGCUCCGCACCACCUGGGGGAAGACUUUGUGGUGGCCUACAUGCAAAACGGUUUGCAGCAGACCCUCAACAGCGACUUCAAGCUGCUCAUCACAGGUUAUUCGCCCUUCACGUCUGUCACCAUCUCCAUGAAGAAGCCGGG